rnacentral:rRNA from 1 species
UACGAAGGGGGCUAGCGUUGUUCGGAAUUACUGGGCGUAAAGGGCGCGUAGGUGGCCUUCUAAGUUGAACGUGAAAUCCCUGGGCUCAACCCAGGAACUGCGUCCAAGACUGGGAGGCUUGAAUCCGGGAGAGGGAUGCGGAAUUCCAGGUGUAGCGGUGAAAUGCGUAGAUAUCUGGAGGAACACCGGUGGCGAAGGCGGCAUCCUGGACCGGGAUUGACACUGAGGCGCGAAAGCCAGGGGAGCAAACGGG